rnacentral:lncRNA from 11 species
UUUCUCCCGUCCUGGAGUGGUUGGUUGCUAUGGGGCUCUUUAAACUGGCUUGCAGAAGCGGAGGGAACCUAGAUUUGCAACCUCUGCAGGAUUUCCUUGCCAUGUGCUGGCAAAACCCCAAACUAGAACUCUCCACCCAGCUUGUCCUCAACCUGAUGUCUGGACAAAAACAAAGACAAACUGUUUGUAUAUCUGACAACGGCAGCAAGAAUGGUGUAUAUGAGACUUUUGAAAAUGAACGAAACCUCGACAAUAGAGCAAUGGUUAGACAAAGUUAUGGAUAUUAUGGAUAUGGAACUUUAACAUUCUUAAUGAAAAGACAUUUGGGGAAACCAGUAAUAUCCACUGACUGGCGACUCUUCAAGGAAUAUAUUGAAAGAAAAGAAGAAAGAGAUAAUGUAUACAAAUAGACUUAACAAAUGAACAAAUGAUUGGUCUGGAACUGAAGAGAAGAAAAGCGGUGAGGUUAAGUAGGACUGACUAAAGGAAGAUGAAAAAUAAAGCAAUACAAAGAGGAAGAAUGGAAGCCAAAUUUUCCCCCUUUUUUUCUUUUUUUCUCUUUUUUCCCUUCUUUUGAAUUGUUCUUCCCUCUUUUUACCCAUCCUCAUACCUCCCCCUUUUUCCCAUCACUUAACUCCCCACUGCUCUUUCCCUAUAAUAUUUAGAUAUUUUAUUCACUGUGGAAAACAUUUCAAUAAAAUUAUUUUUUUAAAAACUAGCAUUACUUGUUGUGACUGUGCCUUCGGGGAUUAUGGUGAUGGGAUUCGAAGAGGAAGAAAAAACCCUCGUGAUGAAGGUUCACUGGAGGAGUUGU